CGGGGGAACACUGAACUGUACCGCUUGUCUCCAACAGUGGGCGCUUUAACCACCAACAAAAUGAAGAUGUCUUGAGACUGUGGAUAUCAUAGUUUCCAAAGAAGAGGAAACAAUACCGUUUAUUUCCACCGGGUGGCGCUAUAACUACAGUUGAAAAAUUCUCAUGGAUUUAGGUGUGGAUGUUGAUAGUGUGCAUGGAAUGUUCUUCCUUGAGCUGCGGCACCCCGCUGUAGUCUGUAAUGGACUGGCCCGAAGGUCUUUGUACAAACAAGCGGCUACUGGAAGAGAGUAGGUGAGUUGUGUUUAGUCUCUUUGCUAAAGAAAUGAGUCAAAGUUAAAAAGAUGUUUGGUGUCUAGUACUAUGUCUGUGACCCUGUAUGUCCUGUUGAUGAAGUUAGGUGCUGUUCUGAGCAUUAUUUGUGGCUAUAGAGUGGCGUUUUGGUUGAGGGCGUGCUGCCAAAUCGAACCCAGCUUCUUCUACGUGUCAGUCGAGUCCGUUCUCCUCUUUGGUAGUGGAUGCUGGACCAUGAAGCCAACCCUGGAGAAAUCCCUUCGAUCACGCCAAAUACGUGAUUCACAAAGACAUGAAAAUUCCCUAACGAGGUCCUUUCUCUGUAACGUGCGCCUGGACCUGAAUUAGCGUUCAUCCUAAAGCCGUCGGUGAAUCAUAUGAUCUCCACAUAAAGAGUUUGGACAUCUCAUAUUGGUGACCAAGCCUUUCCUCGUUGUGUGCCGUCGCUGUCAGCUCGUCGAGUCCAGAGAGCGACAGACUGAGUGAUGAGGUCUGCCUCCUCGGAGCGGCCCCGUGGCUGACGAGCCAAACACUUCCUCAGCCAGAGUAAUGGAGCAGAAACAGAUCAGACAGGCUGGUGUUGUUCUGCCAACCAUGAUCCAUUUAACACACAACAUUCAGCCUCAGGACGUGAUUUGUGCGCUGAAAAUAUCCUCUCUGUGGUUUCGACUCUUUUCUCUCUCCCAGGAUCAGAGCGCGGUUCUCAAAGUUAAGGGAGAUGAGGAGCUCGUAAAAACACACGGCGCCGCCGUGGUGAUUACAACGAAUGCAAAUCAGUGAAUAAAUUGUCUUCAUGUUUUGAAUCUCAACCCUCGUCUUAUCGUUAAUAUAUUUACGAUCCUUUUGAUGAUGUCUUCAUGCUGCGGGAGGCUGAAAUUAGGCUCCCAGCUGGAUGUUCCCUGCAGAUAUCUCGGCCCAGUAAAGCCUUCAGUCCAACAUCAGCAGGAUGACGGAGCUGCACCAGAAAAAAGGUCCGACUUGACUCUGUUACCUGCUUUGAUUAUGAGGCAGAAGUGGAUUUAACCGCACAGAGAAUGAGGUCUCAUUUUGAAGAAAUAAUCCCCGCUCUGUCUGUUAGCCUCCCUCGGACCUGUUGCUCUUAUCGCCUGUUGAAUCCGGCGGCGUGUCAGCAGGAGUGAUGAGGUGCUUCCCCUCUGAGCGGCCCCGCGGUGACUCAGACAAACAGCUCGAAAAGCAGCGAAAUGAGCCUGAAGCAGGUAGGAUGAAGAGGAGAAGUCGGUGAAGUGGAUUUCUCCGUCUGAAAGCAGCAGGGCGCCGCCGUUUCAUUACACAGGAUUACUCUGGGCAUCGCCGCCAAAAAUAGACCCCAUGGCGUGGACAGUGUAAUUGAGACGAGGGGUUAAGAUAUUACAGAGGUCGCUUAAUCCUGAUCAUUCUCUCUCGCCAGCGCUCAGAAGAUUAAACUUCAGCACACUCUGCAAAGACGAGGGACAUUUUUGUCCUUCUUUUAGUGACCUCUUCUGUUUUCAGUGUUUUUAAUAAGACUGUCCAAAACCUCCUGAAGGGUUUAUUCUCACCCCUAAACCUCAUAUAUGAGCUCACGGUCCGGUUGGACUCUGAAGGGGGGUUUUGAUUAAGACUUCCAGGGUCGAGAACUUUUUCUUUUUUAUUGUAUUCUAUGGGAGUUAAUUGUAAAACUUCAAUAAUGUAACACUGAACCAAAAGAAGACCAAGAUGCAAACUCACAGGCGGGCAAAAUCAAAGUCUGUUUAAUCAAAAAGAGUUGGUGAACUAAAGACAAGACGAGCUGGCACAGAGAGGAGGGAAAGCUGGGUUUAAAUCCACCAGUGCAGCGGAGUUAACGAGACACAGGUGAGACUCAUCAGGGUCGUCAGGGGAGCAGGUGACACAAGGAGAGGGAAGUCAUCGAACCUGAAACAAGAGACAAAGGUGAGUAUAAAAAUAAACAGGAAACACAAGACGAGAAACGUGAGGGAUGGAAAAAAAAACAACUUAAAGGGAUAAUCUGGGGUAAAAUUAAUUUAGGGUCAAACACAACGUAACACCGAGUUAGACCCCCCCCCCCCCCCCAUGAGAGAUGAAUGUUGCCGACAUUCCACUCUAUAGCCACAAAUAAAGCAAAGAGACUAAACACAACUCACCUACUCUCUUCCAAUAGAUUGUUUCUACGAAGACCUCCAGGCAGGUGCAUCGACCGAUCAUUUCUUUAUCAUUUUCCAUGAAGAAAUGAUCAUAAAUGUUCUUCCUUGAGCUGCGGCAUCCCGCUGUAGUCCAUAAUGGACUGGCCUGAGGUCUCUCUACAAACAAGCGUCUGCUGGAAGAGAGUAGGUGAGUUGUGUUUAGUCUCUUUGCUAAAGAAAUGAGUCAAAGUUAAAAAGAUGUUUGGUGUCUAGUACUAUGGCUGUGACCCUAUAUGUACUAACCUCAGUAGAACAUGGUGUAGUUCCGUUCAGUAACAGAACCUCAUUGGAAAAUUAUCUGAUUUAACUUUACUGUGCUCUUGUUCAAAUAUAUUAACUCGACAGCACAUAAAUUCAUAUCUGUUCACAAAAUCAUGAUUUUAUUGAUAAUUCGGCUCAAUAAAAACACCUUUACCUUUUCAUUUUACUACAGUAGAAGUUUAUUGGCCCAGCUUAUAGACUACAGAAGUGAAGAAACGCCCCCGCUUAAGUUUGUUUUCUUAGGAGUUAGAAAAACUCUGAAUAUAGUACUAUGUCUGUGACCCUAUAUGUCCUGUUGAUGAAGUUAGGUGCUGUUCUGAGCAUUAUUUGUGGCUAUAGAGUGGCGUUUUGGUUGAGGGCGUGGCUCUCUGUAUUUCUAUCCUGCGGUCGUUACUAAAGUUGGUAUAACUAGAGAAGCAAGCGGUCGACAACAUUCAUCUCUUGAGGGGGGGUCUAACUCUGUGUUACAGAAUCACGGAGUCGCGUGUAGUUAUUUUUGAGUUUUUCAGGUCGGAUUGAGUGUCUUUUAUGCUAACUCAGUAAGUCCACGCAACACAAAAUCGAAAUUUCCAAAAAAAACAGCUGACAUUUGAAGGAUUUGAUCAACUCCCCCA